rnacentral:rRNA from 1 species
UUAAGUCAGGCAACGAGCGAGACCCACGCCCACAGUUGCCAGCGUACUCUCCGGAGUGACGGGUACACUGUGGGGACCGCCGCUGCUAAAGCGGAGGAAGGAAUGGGCAACGGUAGGUCAGUAUGCCCCGAAUGUCCCGGGCUACACGCGAGCUACAAUGGUUGGUACAAUGGGUAUCUACCCCGAAAGGGGAUGGAAAUCUCCUAAAGCCAAUCUUAGUUCGGAUUGAGGGCUGCAACUCGCCCUCAUGAAGCUGGAAUCCGUAGUAAUCGCGUUUCAACAGAACGCGGUGAAUACGUCCCUGCUCCUUGCACA